GCAUGUUGUGGCGAAAGUGAACUCGCCCCUGGUUUUUGGAGGGGCCUGUUUGCCAGCCUCCUGCCCUGCGACUAUGGCCCUGGGAUGUAUUGCCGUUCUAGGAACUAAUUUGGGCAUAAUUGAGUUUUAUAUUGCUGUUUCUGGCCCUUUAAUUCCCAGAGAAAAGAUUUGUACUUUUAAACUGGCACUUCGGAGUCGAAGUCGUCAAAUUGGCCGCCAUUCGAAAACCGAACACGUGGCGGCGGCCAUUUUAACUAAUUCGAACGUGAUCAGCAGUGUGUGCAGCCAAAUCUAUGGAACUGUUUUUGGCUACCCAAUUGCACAAACACAGCUGACCCGUACCUUCUACUCUACUUCGACACUGCGGCCGCUCGUUCGAAUGGGACUUAGUCAUUUUCUCACUGUUUUGGGCAUGAAAAUGUGCUUGCAGUCGGUCAAAAGUGACAUAUCUAUCUCCCGAACGGCUGAAUGGAUUCAAAUGUUUUUUGGGUAUGUUUGUAUUUGGAAUGUGCUGAUUAAUAAUAUGUGACUUUUAUUAAUAUUGGAUGUAUGGUUUUAGAGUUAUGAAAGUUGGGUAAAAAGUAUGAUUUUACAGCUUGGAGAUAAUGGAGUAGAUACAGUAAGAAACUCAAUUACCUCCCAAGCAGAGGGGAGGAGAUAUAUGGGAGUGUUUGUACUGUAUACUACGUGUUUAUUGGUUGUUCUGUAAAACCCUGUGGGCGGUCCUGUAUGUGUUAAACCUGCAUAAAAGAAAGCCCUUUGGUACCAAGUAAACAGAGUUCUUCUUCACCCUCAAUCUAGAGUCCUGUCUUUUACUGGGGGAAUUGCUAUAUCACUACAAGGGAUUGCUAUUCUCUGCAUACUCCCGUAGCUAAUCACUACUAAGCUCUUUUAAGAGCUUGUUCCUGCUUCACUCUCUUGGAGGAGAGGUUUACCCACUGGAAC